rnacentral:lncRNA from 1 species
UAUGUCUGUUUCACAAGCAGAAAUGAGAUUUUCGAAACCUAUUACUUGCAUUUGCAAAUACUAUCAAAAAUCAAAGUACUAUUUUUCAGUGAAUCAUAGAAAGACCAUGAAGACAGAGAAUGAAGAGGCUGCCUGUGUUCUUAAUAUCAACUUAUAGUUUCUACUGAUAGAAGAAUGUUAACAUUCAGGGCUACAAUAUGAAAGGUGUACCUUAAAAGACUGUUGUUAUUCUGGAGGACAAUUUCCUAUAUGAAAAGGUUUGCAUCGAUGUUUUAGGAAAUCUAUAUUAAGCGUUACCUUGAGAGAUAAAGAUUAAUUCCCCCUUCAGCUUAAAAAUUGUGAUAGCUGAGUUAAAACCAAUCAUCCUGCUGCAUUUUUAUGUGCAAGCAAUAUAAAGUCUGAACCACUGUGCUUUUAAAGAACCAAUUCAAUAAAACUAAAAACAAUUACAAAGAAGAUUGAUUGCUGGAAAGAAUUUAACAGAAAAGCAUGAGUAAAAACAGGUUACAGUGUUAUUAUUUAUCCAAGUGCUACAAAGCAGUAAUCAAGGAAACCUACUAAUUUUAAGAGUCAUUGUAGAGAUGAAAGAAUGCAGUAACAUGAAUAGAAUACAUAACAAAUUACAAAAAUAUAGCAGAACAUAUAAAUUAAGAGGUAGAAAAGGGAGAGAGGGACAGUUAAGCACAGUUAAGAGUAAUAGGAGCUUUUAGAAACAUAUGGAGCAAGAAAAACAAUGCUAAGCCUUUUACUUAAAUAUUUUGAAUGUAAAUCACUUCUAAAAGAACUCAGUCUUUGUUCAACUUUGUCUUUAUUUAUGUAAGGGACUGAAUUCAGUGCUUUAGUUAUUAGAAGUUCUGCACUUAGAGAGCAGGUGAAUGCUCAACACUUCUGAAAAUAAAGCCAUUAGUUCUGGGGAUGGAGGACAGCUUGUGCAGUACUCCCAAAUAAUUAUGUGCCUAGAAAAGUAAGAUUCUUGUCUUCAUCCCUACUCUCCUAUGUGUCUUUAAAACGUGCCCCACACACGCCAAGUUCAGCUGCUUGCUUUUAAAACUCAUAACCAGUUGUGGUGGUUUAACAAUGAUGGGCAGCCAAGCACCACACAGCCAUUCUCCCACUCCGACUCCUCAGAAGAAGGGAGAAAACAUGAUGAAAAAAACAGCUUGUGGGUGAAGAUAAGGACAGGAAGAUGGGUCACCAAUUACCGUCACAGGCAAACAGACUGC